rnacentral:tRNA from 1 species
GUGGCUGUAGCUCAGUUGGUUAGAGCCCUGGAUUGUGGUUCCAGUUGUCGGGGGUUCGAGUCCCCUUAGCCACCCCA